CACACUUCUCCAACACAACUUCACACUUCUGCACUCCAGCAACAAUGAGAUCACUAGUGGCGCUUGUGUUCAUAUGCACAUUUUUACCCAAAGCUGCCUCCAAACCUAAUCGGCUGGUUUGUGAAUUUUGUCUUUUCAAUGACUGUGUGCCAGUGGUCUGUCAUCCAACUGCUGAUUCCUGCAUCACUGCAACAUAUAAAGUAGGCAACAAGAAGGUCACUGCAAGAUCGUGUGCAGAAAAAAAGACAUGUGAAAAUCCUCAAGAUCUGUUUCCAAUAGGAUACCUUCAAGACGCGAAGUGUUGUCAGAAGAACAUGUGUAACAGUGUUUAGAGAUUCACUCCCAGUUUUCGUCUCAUGUUUGGUCCUCUUCUUUUCUCCAUCCUAUUCUACUAAACUCUGAUAAAAAAAUGUCUAAAAAAAUUGAUCUAGUACAAAGGUACAAAAUAAGAAACUAAUGAUUUAAAUUCAUCCCUAUUUCUGCACUGUAAUGUAUUACAUUCUAAUAAAAAAGCAUA